rnacentral:rRNA from 1 species
AGUCGAACGUGAAAGCACUUCGGUGUGGGUAGAGUGGCGGACGGGUGAGUAACGCGUGGGAAUCUACCCAGUAGUGGGGGACAACUACCGGAAACGGUAGCUAAUACCGCAUACGCCCUAUGGGGGAAAGGCUUCGGCCGCUAUUGGAUGAGCCCGCGUCAGAUUAGCUAGUUGGUAGGGUAAAGGCCUACCAAGGCAACGAUCUGUAGCUGGUCUGAGAGGACGAACAGCCACACUGGGACUGAGACACGGCCCAGACUCCUACGGGAGGCAGCAGUGGGGAAUAUUGGACAAUGGGCGAAAGCCUGAUCCAGCAAUGCCGCGUGUGUGAAGAAGGCCCGCGGGUUGUAAAGCACUUUCAGUUGGGAAGAUGAUGACGUUACCAACAGAAGAAGCACCGGCUAAAUCCGUGCCAGCAGCCGCGGUAAUACGGAUGGUGCGAGCGUUAAUCGGAAUUACUGGGCGUAAAGCGCGCGUAGGCGGCUAAGUCAGUCAGAAGUGAAAGCCCCGGGCUCAACCUGGGAAUUGCUUUUGAUACUGCUUAGCUAGAGUUUGGUAGAGGAUAGUGGAAUUCCAGGUGUAGCGGUGAAAUGCGUAGAUAUCUGGAGGAACAUCAGUGGCGAAGGCGACUGUCUGGACCAAAACUGACGCUGAGGUGCGAAAGCGUGGGUAGCAAACAGGAUUAGAUACCCUGGUAGUCCACGCCGUAAACGAUGUCAACUAGCCGUCGGGUCUGUUUACAGACUUGGUGGCGCAGCUAACGCGAUAAGUUGACCGCCUGGGGAGUACGGCCGCAAGGUUAAAACUCAAAGGAAUUGACGGGGGCCCGCACAAGCGG